UGUUGUCUCCUUGGAAUGUUAUCUUGCAUUGCAAAUGGCAUCCUGAAUCGCUGAUUGAAAGAUAUUGCAUAAUUGGAACUUGUAACUUGGUGUCCAUCGUGAGCGUGAACACCUGGGUAUGAAUUAUUUAGUCUAACUUCUAAACCUAAUUAAAGUAUUUGAUAAAGUUUGUCAGCAAUUGUCUUUCUUAAAAGGGUGCUCAUCAGUGAUUGUGGCACUGAACCUGUUUUUAUACUUUUCAAUUGGGUUUUGAUUGUACCUUCUUUGCAAAGCUGGUAAAUAUCACUAACACAGUAACACUGUAUCUGAACUAUUUAAAGAAAAGAAAUAGCAUGUGAACGUCUGUAACGAUAUUUUCUUGCUACUGGAUGUCUCCUCUUAUGGAACAUUGAAUUGUUGAUGCUCUGAUGUUGUUCUAUUUCUAGAGCUAAAGGUUCUGUGAACAUUAUUGUUGGUAGCAUUAAUGAAGGAAAUGCUUUUGCUAGCUUUAAUUAAGUUUUAUUAUCUCUGAUGGUCUGCAAGUUAAAUUUGUAGAUGUCAAGCCCUAUAUUUACUUUUAUAGGACAUCAACUUAAUUUCUAUUGGUAGCCAAUUUCGUGCAUGCUUACUGCGCAUGUGUGAAUGCAUCAUUAGGACUUACUAAUGAAAUGAAAAAUGGUAAUUUGUUUUGAGAUACACAGUCAGAUUUAAGAGGGAGGGAAUAAAAAAAUCAGUGCGAAAGCUGAGAUGCGCCUUCAUGCUUUCUAGGGACCAGAAGCUGUGCUGACAAAGUUGGCAGUGACAUAGAUGGCCAGAGGAGUCUGGAGGAGCAUUGAGGGCUGAAAAAUCUCUAAUUCUAGAAUGUUUGAAAGUGCUCGAGUCCUUUAUUAUGUGUGUGAAUCUGGUCUUACUUGGACAGGAAAAUACCAAUCGCUUGUUAAAAGCAUGUUACAAAAGGGCAACCCUGCAGCAAUAAGUGUACUUGAUCCGACAAGAACGGUGAUGUCUUGCCAUUCGUAGCAUAUGGUAAGAUGCUGAAGAAUAAUCUGCAAUGAGGCCUGGGGAAGUUGCAUUUGACUUAGUGCUGGAAAUCUCUUCUAGGGUCAAGAAAAACUUGUUGCUACUAAAGCUGAUGGUUGACACUGCGGAAACAUAGGGACUAGCUGAUCAUGAUGAACACCUGAUUUUUUCCCCCCCAAAGCUUGAGAGAUGGCAUUGUCGAAGGAAUUGUUUCUGUGUAUCUUUCAUCGAGUGGCAAGCAUCAAUUCUGUUAGGAUUCGUGGGAAACAUUCUUAGGUGACCUGGUUGCUCCAUCUCUUUUGGCAUGAUUGCCAGUUACAUGGCCUAUGUCAGCAUUGGAUCUUUUUUCCUUUUCUUUUUUGGUUCUGAAUUUGGGCCUCUGGAGUGUGUUAGUUCCUUAUAAUGAAUUGGAAAAUUCCUUAUUUGUUCAA